rnacentral:rRNA from 1 species
UACAGAGGUGGCAAGCGUUGUUCAGAAUUACUGGGCGUAAAGGGCGCGUAGGCGGCCUUCUAAGUCAGACGUGAAAUCCCCCGGCUUAACCUGGGAACUGCGUCUGAUACUGGGAGGCUUGAGUAUGGGAGAGGGAUGUAGAAUUCCAGGUGUAGCGGUGAAAUGCGUAGAGAUGUGGAGGAACACCGAUGGCGAAGGCAGCCCCCUGGGUCAACACUGACGCUCAUGCACGAAAGCGUGGGGAGCAAACAGG